ACAGAUAGCAGCGAGGUCGCCCACCCAGGCUCCAACUCUACCGCCCCUCCUCCUGGAGAGAAAGAAAAAAAAGAAAAAAAAAGAAAGUGCGGUGCAAACAAAAGCGAGGGGGGAUGGUUCGCGGCGGACAAAAAUCCUGAGGAAGCUUCCUCGAGAGCCCCGGCACCGGCAGCCCUUCCCUGCCCGUCCGCUCCUCCGAGGGAGCACGAGGGCAACGGGGCGAGCGGUGCAGCGAACGCGCUGCUGGAGAUGGCACUCUCUUCCUCCCUCUGUUUUAUGCACGGUUUGUUGGUGGUGGUUGGUUGCUGUUUGUUUUUAAUCCUCUUAGGAUAUGUGGACAGCAGGAUGCGUACGGCCUCGAGUGUUGGGAAAAGCUUGUUGCCGAGGGAGAGUGAGGGAGUGAGCGAGGGAGCGAGCGAGGGAGCGAGCGAUGCAAAGAGCUCUGUAUGGAUGGAGCAGCAGCAGCCAGAGCCCAGCCCGGCCUGCCCCGCCGGCAGGAGGGGUACGAGCACCCCGCGCCGAACCCACCCAGACACAGACACACACACAGACACACACACAGACACACACACAGACACACACACAGACACACACAGACACACACAGACACACACAGACACACACAGACACACACACCACGCUCGCACACGCGGGGGGAGGCGGGGAGGGAGGGUGACGUCACUCCGCUCCGGCCCGGGGCGCAUCCCGGCGGGCAGCGGGCGGGGCAGGGCCGGGCCGCGCUGCUCCUGGCUGCCGAGGCCCGCCGGCUUCGGCAAGUCGUGAUGUUCGUCGUCUGCCUCCCUCAAAACUUCCUUCGGUUUAUCUCAUUCUCUCUUCCCCAAGACAGCUCUGCCAUCAGCCUCAGUGCUUCCCAGAUCCUUCGAACUUUCGUCCAAGAGAGCAUUUGAAAAUCUGGAGCAGUCAGACUAAUCCCUUGUUGAAAUUGAUUUAGUGUCAUAGAAUAGUUUGGGUCGAAGGGGACCUUGAAGGUAACUACAGUUUCAACCAUACUGCUGUGACUAGGGACACAUUCCAUUUAUGAAGUUUCUCAAAGCUCAACCCAACCUGGCCUUGAACACUUCAAGAGACUGGCAUCAGUGACUUCUCUGAGCAACUUAUUCCAGUGCUUCACCAUUCUCAUGAGGAAAAUUUUCUUCUGAGCAUCUAAUUUAAAUAUCCUUUCUUUUAAUUUAAAGCUAUUGCCCUUCCUUCUGUCAUUACACUACCUGAAAACAAAUCCCUAUCCAUCUUUCUUGUAGGCAAUCUUAGAUACUGAAAAGCUGUUUUAAAGCCUCAUUGUGGCCUUCUCUUUUCCAGGCUGAACAACCUCAAUUCUCUCAGCUUGACUUCAAAGGUUCUCCAGCCUUCUGAUCAUCCUCAUAGCCCUCCUCUGGACAAGUUCCAACAACUCCAUGUCUGCCUUGUGCUGGAUAUCCCACAGCUCAACACUAUACUCCUUGUAGAAUCUGACAAGAGCAGGAAACAUGAGGAGACAAAUAUAGCUGCAGAUUUGGAAUCUAGGAUAGAACAAUAGCAUCUGCAUGACUUUUCUCCAGUGAUGUUUUGUUCUUGCAGAAAACACUGAUUCACCUCUGGUAGCAGAAACUGAAUGCAACAGACGACAACUGACAGCUGCCCUGACAAAAGUAUAAAUUCUUCCAUUAAUUGUUUGCUUUACUGUAGGAACUAAUGCUAGAGAAACUUGGGUUAUUUUUGUUCAUCUCUUCUUGAGCAGGGAAUUAUAUUUUGUGCAAUUCUUUUGUUUUCAAAAGCAUAAUUAACACAGUGUCAUCACAAAAUUAUAAGUCGCAAUAGGUAAUUAUUUUUGUCCAUAAUUAUAGAGAAGGGAAACAAGCUGGUUACUUGCAAUUGCAGACACAUAACUUUAUGAUAGAAAAAAUCCAUAUGGAUUUUUGCAUAGAAUUGAAUUGUGGAAAGGAGAGUGAAAAUAUUCAGACUGUUUCUGGCUACUCAAAUAAAGAGGACUUAAACAACAAGCCAGAGACAAAGUGAAACGCUACACUAUAAGGCGAGCUGAGGGCUGGAGCCAUGAAGACAAUCAGAGGGUGGAGCAUCUCUCCUGUGAAGAAAGGCUGAGGGAACUGCACUUGUUCAGCCUGGACAAGGCUCCAGGGAGACUACACUGACAUAUUUCAGUAUUUAAAAGGAGCUUGUAAGUAUAAUAGAGAUCAAAUUUUUACACAGUCUGACAGUGAUAGGACAAGGGGGAAUGGCUUUAAAAUAAAAGAGGAGACAUUUAGGUUAGAUGUUAGCAAAAAAUCUUGGAGUGUGGAGAGGCACUGGAACAGAUUGCCCAGAGAAGUUGUGGACACACCACUCCUGGAGGCGUUCAAGGCCAGGUUGAAUGGGGUCUUGGGGAAAUGGGUCUAGUGGGUGGCAAAGAUGCCUACAUCAAGGUCCCUUCCAACUUAAGCCAUUCUAUGAUUCUAUUCUAUGAUUCUAUGAUUAAGAGUUAUUCAUGGGCUACAGGUCUGGUCACGGGUCUUUAGAGAAAAGAGGAGUGAAAAGAUCUCAGAAGUGUAAGCAUACUAUCCUUCACAGCCUUGAACAGAAGCCAUGGUGCUGGUCAUUCUAGAGGAAGACAAUUUACUGUUGAUAUCAUUUACUCUAUUUGUUCAAGAAGUUAAGUUCUGUGUGAUGGAGUUGGUCAGACUCCAGUCAACCUAUAAGAAGUAUGUUGCCCACUACACAUGAUGACAUAACAUGGUGAUGUUAAAUCCCAAAUUUGUGUAUGGAGAGUCCUUAUUUUGUUUUGAUUAAAUAAAUCAGGAAUGUUGCCUUUUAUUUAUUUUUCUGCUAAGAGAGGAUCACUCUUCAUCCUUGGAAUUAUUUAUUGUAAUCACUUUGUACAAUUGGCAAUAUCGUAACAUUUACUUGGUGUCAAGCAUCAGCUGCUAGCUGGAAUAUAUAUAACAAGAAAGAAUUCUCUUCUAAGCUGGAAUAGGUAGUAGUAUCAAGCAAAGACCAGAAUAAUCAAUUUCAGAUUUUCCAGGUUUCUGUGAAACAGCACCAUAUACGUAGAAUUUAAAUAGAAAAAAAAAGGUACAUUGAUGAUCCAGGAUCAGAAUUGGCUUUUCUGAACUAUCUAUAGGUAGGUAAUAUAUUCUACUUUUAUGUAGUUAGGUUUCUUAUGUGUACAUGAUGUUACAUUCUUUUCUUCUAUAAUUUUAUCAACAGGAAGUGUGAUUCUUACAUGUGUUAACUUCAUUCUAACAAUAUUUCAGGAACGAAAUCACAACUAACUGGUCUAAACACAUGAUAAAAACAAGGUUUUGCAUCUUGAGAAUAGCUCUGGUUGCACAUGGAAGUAAUCAGAUAGAUAGGCAUUACUAUCACAGAGCAAAAGGCAGCCUACAUUUAAACAGUUAAUUGAAUAAACAACAAAGUGAGGCAGCAGUAGAGUUUAUGAUCAUAUUAAAAUUAAAAAUAAGUAAGUGGGUUUAAUGAAAUGAUAAUGCAAAUGCAUGAAAAGAAAGGAAAAAAAAUCCCACAAAGCAAAUCAUAAAUGGCAAAGGAGGGUCACAUUUUUAUGUUGGGGAAAUCAGUUUGUCCCAUGCUGAGAAAAUCUAUAUCCACUCAUUUACCAAAGUACAGACUGUUUAAGAGGCAGAAGAAAAAUUUUCCGUUAUUCUUUGAAAUUCACAGUAAUAUUCUAAAGGCAAGUUUGUAUCACAGUGCUCAAUGUACAAAGUUCUUAUUUAAUUUGCAGUUGUCAUUAUCUGUCUCACAUAUUUGGGUUUUUAUUUGCACCUUUGUUAUUGUAUUAUAUGUAUUAUUUGCACCUUUGUUAUAUAAAAAACUGUAUAGUGUUGUUAUAGCUUUUUGAUUUGCCAGUCUAAAUUCCAAUUAUGCAUGAUUGUAAAAUAAAAUGAUACAAAGUUCUUUCUUUAGAA